rnacentral:lncRNA from 1 species
AGAGUGAAUAAAAUUUUUCUUUAUUGAAAUCUUGUUGUCAUUCACGUGCUUUCCUACAUUACAUUGCAUUACAUUAUAAAGUGAGGAAAAAAUUCAACACUCCUUAGAUAUAUCUCUUGGAUUGGGGAAAAAAUUGGAAAUACAUCUCCAUAAAAAAUUAGUCUCUCAGCCUUACCAAUAGCCUGUUAAAUUUAGUCGUGAUUGGAUGAGUAGAUAUCCAUCCAACUGCAGUAGGUCUGGACUAAUAUCAUCACCUGAUCAUGAUAGUAAAAAGGAAUCGAGCCUAUUAAAAAUUUGAAAAUAAUUAUUUAACAAAGUGGCAAACAUCUAGAAUAAAUAAAUGAAUUUAAAUAACUAAGAUGCAUCAUCAAACUGCAGGUCAAAACCUACAGCUAAAAAUGCCAAAAAAUAUAACACAAACAACAUUUUGCAGGAGACCAAAAAAGAUACAUGACAAAUGCACUUAAAUGGGGCAUGCAUACCCAUGUUACGCCAGUGCAUGAAAACUUACCUAAACAAUGCCCAGAACAUCAAUAAGCCUACACCUUGCAAAGGAAACAACAAAUGCAAAGAAAUAUUAUAGCACUACAAUUGAAUUUUCUCCACCAAUGAAGAUGGUUAUUUCAAGCAAACAAAUGGCUGUGAGUUUUAAUUGAUUUGUGCAUUCAUGAAGCUAAGAAGAAGAGCACAUAUGAAUUUCUCGAUGGACAUCUCCCCUCCAAAGAGAUCACAAUGAGUUACAUAUCAAGAAACUACCAUUAUAGAGAAAUGCCAGUACAGAGAUCAUAAGCAACCUCUAACACCCAAUAAUACUCAAAAUGAAAUAUUUUAUAUCAAAUGUAUGCCUUACUAGCUUUGCUAGUGAGGAAUUGAAUAAAUAUAUAAUCUUGGGAAAAAAAAAGUAGUUUGAAAAAGAGACUCUCGCUAGAUUACUUUUGCAGUAAAACCUGUUUUAGCAUUUACUAAAUCCAAUCGGAGAUUUUCAUAAUAUUUAUACCGAAUUAAUACGCAUAGAAAUGAGCUGCUUAAGAUUACAAAAUUUAUGUUAGAGAAAGUGAAUAAACCGACAGCUGGCUUUGUCAAUACUGUAUGAACAUAGAACUCAUAAGAUGAUGACUGUUUAGAGCUAAUAAAAAUUGGAAGACUUUGAACUUUUGUUUUUAUUAAAACAUGGUAUUAUACUUGUGCUGGAAAGGCUACACUCUGGCAUUUGGCAACCCCUUCAUUUGUCUUUUUUUUUUAUACCUCAUAAUAAUAAUCUACUUAGAAUUCAGAUUGACUUUGCAUCACUAGUUUUAGGCAUCGUUUACCCUAUAUCAAAUCAACAAAUUAAGCUAUUACUACCAUUUUCAAGGAACCAGCUUAACUAAUCUCAAAGGUUCUAACAAACUCAAUUUACAAAAGCUAAAAAUAACAAGUAUAGCUUAAAUUAAGUUGUCCUAUUAUUUUCCAUUUUGAUAACUGCAAAAACAUGAUUUCUGCUAAGAGUAAGCAACAGACAGUAUAGAAAAUAAAGAAAAGAGUCGGUUGUAAAGUAAUCAUUUAUGUUGAAAGAUCAAAAACAGAUAAUCCAGAAAUAGACAAGAAUGAAGGGACGUGCCUGGGCUUGGAAAUGUCGGUUUUAUUACAGAUUUAAUAUGCAUAGAAAUGAGCUACUUAAGACUGCAAAAUUUAUGUUAGAGAAAAUGAAUAAACCGACAGCUGACUUUGUCAAUACAAAAUAAACUCAAUUUCAUUUGUUUAAUCUUUUUUUCCAAUAACACUAAUUUGAAAUUAAAUUAAUAAGAUGACAUAAUCAAAAAUCUUUCUAAAAAAAGUGUUAUAUAGAUCUACUUAUCAGUAAUCAUGCAGCAAAUGGCUAUCAAAUCAAAGCUUGUUAUUUUGUUUUUCUGUAUAUAAACAAAUUAAGCAUGCUUCCACAUUUUCAUUUUGUUCCCAUAGAUUUUUUUGGCUAGGUAGAAAAAAGAAAUAGCUUUUCUUUCUUUUUGGCCUAGGGAUAAUGAAACAAGUUAUGGAGUCUUAGAAUUAAACCGAGGGGUAAAAUGUCUAAAUAUAAAAGAAACUGGAAAUUAAACAAAAGAGUACUUUUAGUACUAUAUGAGUGAACUAUUACUAAGAUGCAUAACAAAAUCAAUGUGAAAUCUAAUAUAAAAGUUUAUGCAAAAUAUAUUUUUAAUUUUAUUCAUGCUACUUGAGUCCAUAACUAGUAUCUAUAUUUUCUUUUUCUCUUUUAUCACCUAAGGUUUUUGUUUUUUAUCUAUGGAUUUUCUGUAACCAAGAUCCAUGGUUAUUUAAGAGAAGAUUAUAUGAAAGGUUAUAUAGUCCACCAACAACAACAAUAAGUUUUGGAAGAGAAUAUGUCUAAAUUGACUUGUGCAUCUGGUGAAGCCAGUGUUUCUUCAGCUGCUGGUGGAACCAACUAUUCUCAAAAAUACUUUAGUAACCCACCAGCUCAAGAUCAACCAGUUAAGAGAAAGAGGAACCAACCAGGCAAUCUAGGUUUGUUUGGGUUCAAACUUCACAACCCUUAUCUUAAAACACUGUUACUUUUAUUACUUUUAUUUUUUUAUUUGUUUUCUUAACUAAGACUUUUGUUUUGAAUCAGACCCAGAUGCAGAAGUGAUAGCUUUGUCACCUAAAACACUAAUGACUACAAAUAGAUUUGUGUGUGAGAUCUGCAACAAAAGGGUUUCAAAGAGACCAGAACCUUCAGCUUCAAAUUAAGCUAUUACUACCAAAAUCAAAAAAUCAACAAAAAUGAAAAUAACAAGGAACCAGCUUAACUAAUCUCAAAGGUUCUAACAAACCCAAUUUACAGAAGCUGCAAAACAUGAUUUCUGCUAAGAGUAAGCAACAGACAAUAUAGAAAACAAAGAAAAGAGCCGGUUGUAAAGUAAUCAUUUAUGUUGAAAGAUCAAAAACAGAUAAUCCAGAAAUGGACAAGAAUGAAGGGACGUGCUUGGGCUUAAAAACGCCGAUUUUUAUCGGUUUUAGCGAGAACGUCGAGAUACUCUGCUUCUUCAAGGCUCUGCCAUUGUUUCUUUCGAUGAAUCAGUAAGAAACACACCCGUUUAACCAUAAAACAAAAAUGAAAAGGCAAAAGACAAAGUUCAAGUUAAGAUGAUGAAGGAAGAUGAUGUGAAGGAAGCAGAAGCAAAAAUGUUUACCUGACCUUGGAUGAAGGGGAGGAAUGCCGGAGUCGAAGAGUACGUGAAAUGGUUGCCGAUUGAGAGUGUUUUUGAGGUGAAAUUUUGGUAAGGGUAAAAGAGGGUUAUUCAAGCAAUGAAUAGCUAAACGGUAAAGAGGGAAGGGAAUAGAAAUCCCCAAAAAUCUCUGCUUAAGCCCAAAAUGGA